AGAGAGAGAGACAGAGAGAAAGAGAGAGAUACAUACGUUCUCAGUUCUCAUCACACAUUAACCUGCGAUGUCGAGUUGAUCGUUUAAUUCCCGUUUGAUUGAUGCUCGCGGAGCCCCUUUUUAAAUAAAACGGACCAGAGCACUAAAUAUGGCCAGCAAAGUAUGGCAUACAGAAUUGUGGAAGUCAUGGGAUAAACACGGAAGAAACGAUUUCCUCAAGCUAAUCAAGCACAAAUUUAAGGAAGGCAACGCACCAGAAUGGAAGCGCGGAUUAUACGAAUUAAUCUCAAAUGGAAUCCAUGGGAAUGUAAAAAAGGACAGUGUAGUACAGACAUUAGGUGAACUUACGAAUUUUGAUGGUGCAAUACCAUCUGCAAUAGUAGAUAUAUUUACUUUAAUCGAUGCAGAAGCACAUAAUGAAGAAAGGAACAAUUUUUAUUAUAUUGUGAAAGAGUCUGAAAAGUUUUUGACCGACAGAAUAUUGAAAGAACGUUUAGAGAUUGAAACUUUGCAAGAUGUAGGAACAUUAAAAAACAAAAAUUUUCAAACCAAGUUUAUAAAAGUAAAAACAAAAUUAUAUUAUAAGCAGAGAAAAUUUAAUUUAUUUCGUGAAGAGAGCGAGGGUUACUCCAAGCUCAUUGUAGAAUUAAAUCAAGAACGUCCAGGCAACGAAGUAGCCUCGACACUGGAAAUCGUUAAAUCUCUUAUUGGUUAUUUUAAUCUUGAUCCUAAUAGAGUACUCGACAUCUUGCUAGAAACUUUUGAAAACCGACCGCAAGAUGAUGCUCUAUUUAUUCCCUUAAUACGCUCGUACAUGAGUGAUCAACAGGUACUUUGCGAGGUGUUAGGAUUUAAAUACUGUUCCACCGUCGACGCUACGCCAUUCUCGCUGCAAAAGGUCACCGCGCUUAUGCUGCAGCACAAUGUGAUUAAACUGGACGAUAUAUUACCUUGGCUAGUGCCAAAUGAUAAAACUAUUAUAUUAGAUCACGAACAGGCGAUGAAGCAGGCUAAGGAGUAUGUGCGAAAAUUAAGCGUGAUCUCAACAAAGGACAAAGAGGAUGUUGUGGAAGAGAAGGACAAUGCACAAGACAAAUAUGCAAACAAUCAAAAAUUUGUAUUAUGUGAAGCCCUUCUGGAAAUCGGAGCUUGGGAAGUGGCACAAAGCUUAUUCAAUCGUUUGCCAGAUUGCUGUUUCACUGAUCAACGUCCCAUAGCUUUAGCGUUGUGCAAAAUGAUUCAGGCUCUUAUCGAACCCGUAUAUAGGAAGCAUUGCAUUGUUUCCCCCAAAUUGCCGGGUCGUAAAGUGUCUCCCUUAAAAAGUGCUCUCGCACCACCACUGAUACACAAUCUAGAGGAUAUUCACGAGCAUUUGUUGCCGAUGCUGAUCGUGCUUGGGCCGAAUCUACACCACGAUCCUAUUCUAAUGUAUAAGGUGAUGAGGCUGUGUCAUACUGCUAUCAAGCACUGUCCGCUCGACGCGGGCAAACAACCGUUGAACAAGAACUGCAGCUUAUAUUACGACGUAUUGACAAUCCUCGACGUCGCGCUGCUACCCUCGCUCUCCUUCAUGGAUUGCAAUUGUUGCGUCGCUGAAGAAUUGUGGAACAUUCUAAAAUAUUAUCCCUAUCAAAAUCGCUACUGUCUGUACGCGCGCUGGAAGAACGACACUCCGUUACAGCACGCAGCCCUGUUACGGAAACGGGCGGACGCCCAAAAAAAGAUCAAGUCUAUCAUGAAACGCGUGAGCAAGGAGACGAUCAAGCCGGUCGGCCGAUCGAUAGGGAAACUUACGCAUUCUUCACCGGGUGUAUUGUUCGAUUAUGUUCUGAUACAGAUCCAAUUAUACGAUAACCUUAUAGGGCCUGUAGUAGACUCCUUAAAAUACUUGACAAAUAUUUCGUACGACGUGUUAGGGUACUGUCUUGUGGAGGCAUUAGCAGGUGCUGACAGGGAUAGAUUUAAACACGACGGCACCAGUAUAUCCUUAUGGUUGCAGUCUCUGGCUUCCUUUUGCGGAGCGAUAUUUAAGAAAUAUAACAUCGAAUUAACGGGAUUAUUACAAUAUGUAGCGAAUCAACUUAAAGCUCAAAAGAGCCUAGAUCUACUGAUAUUGAAAGAGAUAGUACAAAAGAUGGCCGGUAUCGAGGCAGCCGAAGAAAUGACAUCUGAUCAAUUAGAUGCAAUGGCGGGUGGUGAUUUGUUGAAAAAUGAGGCCGGUUACUUCAGUCAAGUCCGCAACACGAAGAAAUCUUCACAGCGUUUGAAGGAAGCUCUCGCCGAGCACGAUCUCGCAGUCGCCUUAUGCUUGCUAAUGGCACAACAGAAACACUGCGUCGUUUACAGAGAGACGGACAAAUCUCAUCUGAAACUUGUUGGCAAGUUGUACGAUCAGUGUCAAGAUACACUGGUACAAUUUGGAACGUUUCUGGGCUCAACUAUGACGGUGGACGAGUAUGUGGAGCGACUGCCUUCAAUUCAUUCUAUGCUCCAAGAUAAUCACAUACACUCGGAUGUCGCAUUUUUUCUGGCGAGGCCAAUGUUUGCACAUGCCAUAAAUAUAAAAUAUGAUGCCCUUCGUAAAGCCGAUCCGAAUUAUAAGAAAAUGUCCACGGCUAUGAAGCAAUUGAAAUAUGCGGAAGCCGCGCAAGCUGUUAUGGCACCCGUCGCUCAGUCAGUCAGACCGUUGCACCCUCUAAAAGUAUGGGAGGACAUAUCACCACAAUUCUUAGUCACAUUUUGGUCCCUGUCGAUGUACGAUUUGUAUGUACCGGUGGAAAGCUAUCAAAGGGAAAUCAGCAAGUUGAAACAACUCGCGGCACAGACGGCCGAUUCCAAAGAUAUGAAUAUAAGUAAAGGAAAAAAGGAACAAGAAAGGUAUACUACUCUGAUUGAAAAGCUGCAGGACGAAAAGAAGAAGCAAGAGGAACAUGUCGAAAAAGUAUUUGCGUACCUGAGACAAGAGAAGGAUACAUGGUUCUUGUCACGAAGCGCCAAGUCUGCGAAGAAUGAGACGAUAACGCAAUUUCUGCAGUUGUGCCUAUUUCCGCGGUGUACAUUCACAACUGUGGACGCCAUGUACUGUGCGAAAUUUGUACAUACCAUCCACUCCUUGAAAACUGCAAAUUUUUCGACCCUGCUUUGCUACGAUCGUCUUUUCUGUGAUAUUACCUAUUCAGUUACUUCAUGCACAGAGAACGAAGCAAAUCGAUAUGGCAGAUUUUUGUGCGCCAUGUUGGAGACUGUGAUGAGGUGGCAUUCCGAGAAAGCCAUAUUCGAUAAGGAAUGCAGUAAUUAUCCCGGAUUCGUGACCAAGUUUCGCGUGAGCAAUCAAUUUUCUGAAGCGAAUGAUAUGGUCGGAUUUGAAAAUUACAGACAUGUGUGUCACAAAUGGCAUUACAAAAUCACAAAGGCUAUUGUAGUAUGUUUAGAUUCUAAAGAUUAUGUGCAAAUAAGGAAUUCUUUGAUAAUACUGAUCAAGAUAUUGCCACAUUUUCCUGUCUUGGCAAAACUCUCUCAGAUCCUUGAGCGAAAAGUAGAAAAAGUGAGAGAGGAAGAGCGUGGCCAACGCCAGGACUUGCAUGUUCUGGCUACAUCGUACAGUGGACAACUAAAGGCUAAAACUCCCAAUAUGAUACGCGAAUCGGAUUUCCAUCACGUGGGCGACAAGACUGGAAAGGUAGCAGAUACUGCGAAUAAUGAUACAAAUGAAAAAGUUAGCAAUGGAGUAGCGGCGAAAGAAAAUAAUGGAGAAACUCGGCCCGAAAAAGAAAAUAAGGAGCAACGAGAAAAACGAAGUUCGUCCAACCAAACGCAUCAUGAAAACUCUGAAAAGUUCAGAAAGAAAGAAGACAGUAAGGACGUCUCAGAAGCAAAAGAGAAAUAUAUCAAGAAGGAAGAGGUGAAAGAGGAUGAGGGAUUAGAUAAAAAGGAUCGCAAAUAUUAUAAGGAGGAACAUUAUUAUAGCAGUGGUAUAGAUAAUUUAGACCGAGAUCUUUCCAGUGUGUCAAAUAGUAGCGCUAGUUCGGGACCUACGCAAGAAGGUCCUGAGAGAGUUUCAGAUGUAAAAAGAAGAAAAGUAGAGAGUGCCCCAAAGCAGGAAGGGAGACGUGUGGAGGCUAUACUUGAUAAAAAAGAACGUUCCAGCAAAGGAAAAACGCGUGACGAACAGAAGGAGCAGCGUAGGGAAAAGAAACAAGGACGGAAAAGGGAUCGGACGGAAGAAUCUAUGGUAAUUACUGAACAAAAACGAAGAAAAGAUGAUGAGAGAGCCAAAAGUACGCAUCAGAACGGUGACAUUCCUGAACAUAGAGAGAAGCAUCAUUACAGUAAGUUGAUAAAGAUGUCUACUACAAGUACAUUAAAAGGACGAAAUGGACGCCUAUAAGAAAAAAAAAGAAAAAAAAAACUUUCAAGUAUCCCCAAUGUCGCAAGAAAUCACGGCAUUCGGGAAAUUUAUUCAAGAAUGUAUUUUCAGGAAAAAUCUCCAUACGCAAAGGAUCGACCUCACGAACGCGAAGGACGCGAAAGCCGUGACAAACAGAAAAAGCACAAUUGCUCGGUAUGAUCCUUAAUUCAAGUGCACUAGAAGAAGUUCAGACCCAAAACGAAGAUGAUGUACAACAACCGAAGGGAGCUCGACUUAACAUUUUUUAUGCUAUGUUUGAUGUUGCAUGUAAUGAACGUAGAAUUCGAAAUAAAGCAAAAAAAAUAG